UACGUAGGGCGAAAGCGUUGUCCGGAAUUAUUGGGCGUAAAGAGCUCGUAGGCGGUCUGUCGCGUCCGUUGUGAAAACUCGAGGCUCAACCUCGGGCUUGCAGUGGAUACGGGCAGACUAGAGUGCGGUAGGGGAGACUGGAAUUCCUGGUGUAGCGGUGGAAUGCGCAGAUAUCAGGAAGACCACCUCUGGCGAAGGCAGCUCUCUGGGACGCUCCUGACGCUGAGACGCGACAGCGUGGGGAGCGAACAGG
rnacentral:rRNA from 1 species